rnacentral:tRNA from 1 species
UUAAAAAGGCCGGAAUAGC